rnacentral:rRNA from 1 species
CCUACGGGGGGCAGCAGUGGGGAAUCUUCCGCAAUGGGCGAAAGCCUGACGGAGCAACGCCGCGUGAUCGAAUGAAGGCCUUCGGGUUGUAAAGAUCUGUUGACAGGGACGAAUAAGCAAUGCGAAUAGUUUUGUGUAUGACGGUACCUGUUUAGAAAGCUCCGGCUAACUACGUGCCAGCAGCCGCGGUAAUACGUAGGGAGCAAGCGUUGUCCGGAAUUACUGGGCGUAAAGGGCGCGUAGGUGGGCGCUUAAGUCAGGUGUGAAAACUCCGGGCUCAACCUGGAGACUGCACUUGAAACUGGGUGUCUUGAGGGCAGGAGAGGAAAGUGGAAUUCCUAGUGUAGCGGUGAAAUGCGUAGAUAUUAGGAGGAACACCAGUGGCGAAGGCGACUUUCUGGACUGUACCUGACGCUGAGGCGCGAAAGCGUGGGUAGC